AUGAGGCUCAACUCGACUCGUCCAUUGACAACUGAUUCACCGGAAAUCACGGCUGUAAUUUCGUAUCCAUGCCGCAGGCUGCGGUGGCUGCAAACCGGAGUUGAGUUCAAAAGGCGCGGGAGCGGGUCUCUCUCCUCUUCCCCCAUUCCUUGUACCACCAUCUCUCUCGACCAUAAGGCGCACCACCCUAGCGCCUCGCCUCCAUCUCCACACCAAGUAUACGCACACCCAUUCGUCCCACGCAGCGGCGGCGGCGGCCAAGGCACGAUGGAGCGGCGGCCAGAGCUGCGGCGGUCGAUGACGCUCUCGGAGCAGCUGUCCAGGCCCGACCCGGCUAUCCGCGAGUUCCUCAAGAUCCCCGACGACAACAGCCACCUGAGCGCUGACGCCGGAGGAGGUGGAGGCAACGGCGGCAUGAUCAACUGGAAGCCGCUGCGCGACCGUCUCCGCCUCCGCCGCUCCGUGAACGCCUGGUCCAGCCCGUCGGAGAGGCCCAGCACGGCGGACGGCGCCGGUAGCCUGAAGAACAGCGGCAGCGGCAGCAACCGCAGCCACAAGUACAUCUACGCGCAAGGUGAGGCCACGGCGGCCUUCUGCCGCACCUCCUCGCUCCGCCAGGCUCCCGCAUUCUCGCGCGCGGCCUCCACACGGGUCGCUUCCAACGCCACCAUCGGGCGCUCUUCCCCCGUGGUCGACGGCGAGGGCUCCGAGGACGAGUCGGAGCAGGACGAGGACGAGGAGGAAGGCAAGGAGGAGGAGGACGCGCCGGCGGCGCAGAUGUCCCUGAUGGCGCUGCUGGAGCAGACGGACAGCUGGGACGAGGAGGAGGAGGAGGAGCAGGCCGCGGCAGGCGCCGGGGCCAGCAGCAAGAACGCGCACGCCGAGGAGGAGGAGGAGGACGGCGAGGGGGAGAUGGUGCACGUGUGCUGCGUGUGCAUGGUGCGGCACAAGGGCGCGGCCUUCAUCCCGUGCGGCCACACAUUCUGCCGCCUCUGCUCCCGCGAGCUCUGGGUCAGCCGCGGCAACUGCCCGCUCUGCAACGGCUUCAUCCAGGAGAUCCUCGACAUCUUCUGA
rnacentral:rRNA from 1 species